GGCGUCUUUGUCUCUCGCUGGCGCUGGCACAGGAACUUGGGAUCUGUCUCCUCUUUCGCCUCCUGCACCUUGGGAGCCCCGGGCUACUCUCUCACAGCCCUUGUUGCCCUGCGAUCUGUAGGUCCUUGGGGACGCAUAGUUAAGGUGCCAGGACAUCCUGGAAGCUGGGAAAUGAUUUCUUCCAGCCCAUGGCUGGAGAAGGAAAGAAGGUGUGUUUUGCCUGAUUCAGGGGCUAUAGAGAGAACCAAGUUCUGCAGGCCUGUCACCUAAGUCUCAGCUGGGUGUCACAAACUCUGAACUGGAUUCCAAGGCUUUCAUGAAUGCACUUACGUUUGCUGUGGCAGCUGCAUUAUGUCGUGGGGGAUGUGGAUGCAGAACCUCACAUUCUGUCGUCUUGCUUAUGUUACUCUCCUUUAUGUUUCACUUUCUCAAAUGAAUGUCAAGCAGGUGAUUUUCAGAUUCAAAAGUUCUAAAAUAAAUUGCUCAAAUUUACACAUUAUGUAAGCUGUUAAUAAAAUGUCUUGUAGGUGCUACAUAUUUAUUAAAAUUUUUGGUUGUAAUUUUAAGCUCACUGUAGGCAGAAAGGAAUCAUUAAGGUUUCUAUUCUUUUUUAGUCUGUAACUAAAUGACCAUAUAUUUUAAUUCCAAAUAUUUACUUUAUACUUCAGUAAUGCUCAUUGUAUUUUGGAAAAUUUAUAUUGUUCUUUUAUUUGAAAAUAUAAGGCUUUUUUUUUUUAGCUCCUGAAAGCUAUAUUAUAGUCAUAUAAUUUUAUUAUAGUAUUUGAUAAGAAGAGCAGCAACAUAUUGAGAACAGAAUAAAAUUCUCCUGUCUUUUUAAUGAUUAUUUAUUAAAUUCUUCUCAUUAGAGCCUAUUAUUAAUGAUUGUAAUGUAUUUUCUGUAUAAUUUUACUGCAAUUUAUUAAAUGCCAAUGACUUCCAA
rnacentral:lncRNA from 1 species